UCAUUCUUUGAUUAUUUGAUUCGAUUAUAUACUUGCUUAAAUAUCUUAUUGUUGAUUAACUGUUGCCUACUUGUAUGGUGUAUGAGGCAUAUAUUUAUAUUGCUUGAUUACCAUGUCAACCCCCAUUCAUAACAAAUGUAUCCCUCUCCCAUGAAAUGUUUAAUAUUUUUUCAUUCUUUAUUCAUCUGUAAAUACAAGAAUUAAAAUGAGCAUUCGAUAACCAUUUCAAAGCAAGAUCAAAACCUCGAUCCAAC
rnacentral:lncRNA from 1 species